GAAGCAACAAAUGCCCUGCUUCCAGGAAAAGCCUCUAAGCAUCAGGUAACAUCAAAUCGUACCCCAAACCGACACAGGUGGUCAGGUAGAGAAUACCAAGGCGCUUGAGAGAACUCGGGUGAAGGAACUAGGCAAAAUGGUGCCGUAACUUCGGGAGAAGGCACGCUGACACGUAGGUGAAGUGAUUUACUCAUGGAGCUGAAGUCAGUCGAAGAUACCAGCUGGCUGCAACUGUUUAUUAAAAACACAGCACUGUGCAAACACGAAAGUGGACGUAUACGGUGUGACGCCUGCCCGGUGCCGGAAGGUUAAUUGAUGGGGUCAGCGCAAGCGAAGCUCCUGAUCGAAGCCCCGGUAAACGGCGGCCGUAACUAUAACGGUCCUAAGGUAGCGAAAUUCCUUGUCGGGUAAGUUCCGACCUGCACGAAUGGCGUAAUGAUGGCCAGGCUGUCUCCACCCGAGACUCAGUGAAAUUGAACUCGCUGUGAAGAUGCAGUGUACCCGCGGCAAGACGGAAAGACCCCGUGAACCUUUACUAUAGCUUGACACUGAACAUUGAGCCUUGAUGUGUAGGAUAGGUGGGAGGCUUUGAAGUGUGGACGCCAGUCUGCAUGGAGCCGGCCUUGAAAUACCACCCUUUAAUGUUUGAUGUUCUAACGUGGACCCGUGAUCCGGGUUGCGGACAGUGUCUGGUGGGUAGUUUGACUGGGGCGGUCUCCUCCUAAAGAGUAACGGAGGAGCACGAAGGUUGGCUAAUCCUGGUCGGACAUCAGGAGGUUAGUGCAAUGGCAUAAGCCAGCUUGACUGCGAGCGUGACGGCGCGAGCAGGUGCGAAAGCAGGUCAUAGUGAUCCGGUGGUUCUGAAUGGAAGGGCCAUCGCUCAACGGAUAAAAGGUACUCCGGGGAUAACAGGCUGAUACCGCCCAAGAGUUCAUAUCGACGGCGGUGUUUGGCACCUCGAUGUCGGCUCAUCACAUCCUGGGGCUGAAGUAGGUCCCAAGGGUAUGGCUGUUCGCCAUUUAAAGUGGUACGCGAGCUGGGUUUAGAACGUCGUGAGACAGUUCGGUCCCUAUCUGCCGUGGGCGCUGGAGAACUGAGGGGGGCUGCUCCUAGUACGAGAGGACCGGAGUGGACGCAUCACUGGUGUUCGGGUUGUCAUGCCAAUGGCACUGCCCGGUAGCUAAAUGCGGAAGAGAUAAGUGCUGAAAGCAUCUAAGCACGAAACUUGCCCCGAGAUGAGUUCUCCCUGAGACUUUAGGUCUCCUGAAGGAACGUUGAAGACGACGACGUUGAUAGGCCGGGUGUGUAAGCGCAGCGAUGCGUUGAGCUAACCGGUACUAAUGAACCGUGAGGCUUAACCUUACA
rnacentral:rRNA from 2 species